rnacentral:rRNA from 1 species
AUUGAACGCUGGCGGCAUGCCUAACACAUGCAAGUCGAGCGAGCGGCGGACGGGUGAGUAAUGUAUGGGGACUGCCCGAUGGAGGGGGAUCACUACUGGAAACGGUGGCUAAUACCGCAUACUAUCGGAUAACCCAUAUGGGAUUAGCUAGUAGGUGGGGUAAAGGCUCACCUAGGCGACGAACCUUAGCUGGUCUGAGAGGAUGAUCAGCCAGACUGGGACUGAGACACGGCCCAGACUGCUACGGAGGCAGCAGUGGGGAAUAUUGCGCAAGGGGCGGAAGCCUGAGGCAGACAUGCCGAGUGUAUGAAGAAGCACUUCGGGUUGUAAAGUACUGUCAGUCGGGAGGCGUUACCCGCAGAAGAAGCAACGGCUAACUCCGUGCCAGCAGCCGCGGUAAUAC